GCGGGGCGCCCCCGUCCCCUACUCUGCCCCGGCUCGGCCCCACCGCCGCCGGCGCUAAGGGGAAGCGCCGCGGGGAGUAAUCGCGGCUGUGCUGGAAAGAUACUGAAAGGGGAAAUAAAUCUCCUAAAAGGGCACGCUUGCUAUAUUAGCGAUUUGAUUUUGGUCAUCUUCGAUGCCGUGGUGCUGACUGCUACGUUAAACAAACAGGAAACUGCACAGCGUGGCUUUCUCCUCUCCAGAACAAUUUUGAGUUGGUGAUUUCACCUGUCUCUCUCUUUUUUUUUUUCAAGAAAGUCACUGGGAAAGGGCUCUUGCGCAAGCUUUGAACUGACUUUACUAUCCGAAGAAGAAUGUCAGGCCAGCUCUUGUGUUCAGGAGGGCAGGUGGGGGAAUUCAAGGCAGUGUGAAGGAAGAGCCCAGCUGCCAGGACGCACUCAAGUAAGUCUGUGAGAGAUGAGCACCGAGGCUUGGAUCUGCACCUCAUAUUCCUGACGCGGCAGCAGUGAUCAGAUGGCAGGAGAGGAGCAGUCUGAAACGUGGCGUCUGACAUGGAAGUGUGGAUGGAGCAGAGGUGUGGAAUUGGAUUCCUCCAUGAAGAAAAAAAAUGCACUCAUCAGUGCUUGCUGAACGUUUAUGGAGACCAAACAGUGGAUGUGAGCACAGUGAGGCAGUGGGUGGUGUGUUUCAGCAGUGGUGGCAACAACAGUGGGUCACCUCCACUGGCGCAUUGGCAGCGACAUGGAAGGAGCGGGCAAGCUGUAGGCAGCUCGUUACCUUGAGUCAGCCCCUGACCUUUCCAUGGCCCGUGAAUCCUCCGAGCUCUAUGGAGAAACAGCACUAUCUGGUGGAGGGAGUGUGUAAAGUCCUGUCAGCCACGGGCUGGGCUCAUUUGUUAGAGCUACAGUUGCAACUGCUCUAGCUGUGUUCUUGCCCAAAGUUGAUAGUUUCGCCGUGGUUUCCAGAGAUUAUUUUUUUUUCUUUUAACAGUGCGAAUGGCAAGUGAGUAUAUCCAGCUAAGUCUUUGUAAAACUGAUGCUUUCAUCAGUUUCUAUUGCUUACCUGAAGAAUUUUUUCACCCUCUGAGGAAUGUUGGUAUGUUUUCUGGAUUUUUCUAAGCACAGCAAUAUGAAAGAAAGAGAGAAAAAAAUGUUUAGGUUUAAUUUUAAAAGAAGUGUUCUUUAUUGAAGUUAUAUAAAGCAGAUGCGAGUGGAAUAAAAUCAAACUUGUGUGUAAGGAGAAAUUUUCAGAAACAUUUCAUGUCAAAAAAUGAAAUAAAACCCAGAACCCAGGUUAUGAAGUUGUGAAACUUUGGCUCUGAAUUGACUCUGGAUGUAAACGCAUUCAUAGAACCACAGGAUAUCCCGAGUUGGAAGGGACCCGUAAGAAUCAUUGAGUCCAACUCCUGGAUCAACACAGGAGCACCUAAAAAUCAGACCCUAUGUCUGAAAAGCAUAAUCUAUGUAAAAGCAUGUAUGAAAAGCACCACAUUGGUGAAGAUGUUGGCUAGUAUCAAUAUGUCCACUGAAUUCCACUGAACUUAAUGGAUAUUCUAUUCUGCUAAUUUAUUCUUUUCUGCAAAGCUUGUACCUGAAGAACUUACUUAAGGCUCUCCUAAUGUUCUCUGUGAAAUGUCUUAGCAUAAGAGAGCUUUUCAGUGUGUGGUUAACGCUUUCCAACUCUUUCUAGUUUAAUUAUACUUUUGGUAUCAUUCCCAACUACUUUUGAAAGAAC
ensembl:lncRNA